rnacentral:rRNA from 1 species
AGGACGAACGCUGGCGGCGCGCUUAACACAUGCAAGUCGAGCGCCUUGUCCUUUCGGGGAUGGGGAGCGGCGCACGGGUGAGUAACGCGUGGGAACCCACCUUGGGGUUCGGGACAACGGCGGGAAACCGCCGCUAACACCGGCUACGGCCGUCCUGCGAGGGGCGGCGAAAGGUGCUUUCGGGCACCGCCCUUUGACGGGCCCGCGUCCGAUUAGGUAGACGGCGGGGUAACGGCCCACCGUGCCUUCGAUCGGUAGCCGGUCUGAGAGGAUGAUCGGCCACACUGGGACUGAGACACGGCCCAGACUCCUACGGGAGGCAGCAGUAGGGAAUCUUGGACAAUGGGCGAAAGCCUGAUCCAGCCAUGCCGCGUGAGUGAAGAAGGCCUUAGGGUUGUAAAGCUCUUUUGGCGGGACGAUAAUGACGGUACCCGCAGAAUAAGCCCCGGCUAACUUCGUGCCAGCAGCCGC